UUUUGGACGUCUUUUAAUUUUUUGAAGACCUUUUUCGAAAGGUAUGCUUAAAGAGGGGCUUGCGACACAUUAGUUAGUUGGUAGGGGUAAAAGCCUACCAAGACUAUGAUGUGUAGCUGGACUGAGAGGUCGAACAGCCACAUUGGGACUGAGACACGGCCCAAACUCCUACGGGAGGCAGCAGUAGGGAAUUUUCGGCAAUGGAGGAAACUCUGACCGAGCAACGCCGCGUGAACGAUGAAGUAUUUCGGUAUGUAAAGUUCUUUUAUUGAAGAAGAAAAAAUAGUGGAAAAACUAUAUUGACGCUAUUCAAUGAAUAAGCCCCGGCAAACUAUGUGCCAGCAGCCGCGGUAAUACAUAGGGGGCAAGCGUUAUCCGGAAUUAUUGGGCGUAAAGGGUGCGUAGGCGGUUUAAUAAGUCUGUAGUUUAAUUUCAGUGCUUAACACUGUCCUGCUAUAGAAACUAUUAGACUAGAGUGAGAUAGAGGUAAGCGGAAUUCCAUGUGUAGCGGUAAAAUGCGUAAAUAUAUGGAGGAACACCAGAGGCGUAGGCGGCUUACUGGGUCUUUACUGACGCUGAGGCACGAAAGCGUGGGGAGCAAACAGGAUUAGAUACCCUGGUAGUCCACGCCGUAAACGAUGAGUACUAAGUGUCGGGGAAACUCGGUACUGAAGUUAACACAUUAAGUACUCCGCCUGAGUAGUACGUACGCAAGUAUGAAACUUAAAGGAAUUGACGGGACUCCGCACAAGCGGUGGAUCAUGUUGUUUAAUUCGAAGAUACACGAAAAACCUUACCAGGUCUUGACAUACUCUGCAAAGCUAUAGCAAUAUAGUGGAGGUUAUCAGGGAUACAGGUGGUGCAUGGUUGUCGUCAGCUCGUGUCGUGAGAUGUUAGGUUAAGUCCUAAAACGAGCGCAACCCUUAUCGUUAGUUACCAGCAUGUUAUGAUGGGGACUUUAACGAGACUGCCAAUGAAAAAUUGGAGGAAGGUGAGGAUCACGUCAAAUCAUCAUGCCCCUUAUGAUCUGGGCUACAAACGUGAUACAAUGGCUGUUACAAAGAGUAGCUAAAACGCGAGUUUAUAGCCAAUCUCAAAAAAACAGUCUCAGUUCGGAUUGAAGUCUGCAACUCGACUUCAUGAAGUUGGAAUCGCUAGUAAUCGCGAAUCAGCAUGUCGCGGUGAAUACGUUCU
rnacentral:rRNA from 1 species